rnacentral:rRNA from 1 species
UGGCUCAGAACGAACGCUGGCGGCAGGCUUAACACAUGCAAGUCGAGCGCGUAGCAAUACGAGCGGCAGACGGGUGAGUAACGCGUGGGAAUCUACCCAUCACUACGGAAUAACUCAGGGAAACUUGUGCUAAUACCGUAUACGCCCCUCUUUAAAAGGCCAGGAUUAUUAGGUGCCUGGUUUUUUAUGGGGGGGAAAGAUUUAUCGGUGAUGGAUGAGCCCGCGUUGGAUUAGCUAGUUGGUGGGGUAAAGGCCUACCAAGGCGACGAUCCAUAGCUGGUCUGAGAGGAUGAUCAGCCACAUUGGGACUGAGACACGGCCCAAACUCCUACGGGAGGCAGCAGUGGGGAAUAUUGGACAAUGGGCGCAAGCCUGAUCCAGCCAUGCCGCGUGUGUGAUGAAGGCCUUAGGGUUGUAAAGCACUUUCACCGGAGAAGAU